CGUGCAGAGGCUGGGUCUCCACCGCCCACCGCCGGGCUGCCUCGGCUGGAAGUGCUCCCGACAGACGGGCUGCGUGUCGUCAGGAGCGGGGGGCCUGGCGUGUGCGCAUGCGCGUGUGCCAGAGCACGUGUGUGCGUUCAAAACAUGGAAAAAGGAAGCGUGGCUGCACUCAGCUGUGAGAGGCUGGCCAGCUCCGUCUGAGCUGGCGCCGCGGGGACAGGAGGAGGGCGAGGCUAGCGGAUGCUGCAGAGGGGAAGAUGGACGCCUGCCAUGGCCAAGCGGUAGGGCUGGCGCCUCCCGGGUGCCAACGGGCGCACGGGGCCAAAAUUCACAAACAAAACCCAUGGCAAAUUGCUGGCAGCCCGUCCCGAAGGCGCCAGCCGCUCGUUAGAGAAGCCACGGAGGACCGGCUGGAAGCGGGCAGCCAGCGCAGCACAGAAAAGUCUCUGCAGCUUCCCACACCUCGGAAAGUGAACCUCGGCACCCAGCCUCCCAGAGAAGUCCCGGGAAUGAGCAGGUGACUGCCAGGGUGCCGCCCUCCCCCGCAUCAAACCUUGGCCACCUUUCGUGGGCACCAGCUGCCCCAUGGGGACAAGCUGUGCCGCUCUGCAGCCCCAGCUGGAAAGGGAUCUAUAGCUUCCUUUGAAGACUUGCUCUGGUGUCUGAUGGCCCACCUACCCCAUGCCAACAAGACCAAUCCACAGCCCACAAAGUCUCACCCGCUGUGUGCUGGCCACACUAUGGUCACCUGCCAGCCAGCCAUCCACUUGCUCACUCUGUAUCAGCUGAAAAACCUAUGUGUGGUUUCUAGGCGUGGAGAUGGGGCUUCAUAAUGGAGCAAAACAGACCCAACCCCCUGCUCUGGGCCACACACACUGACAUCACCCACGCUGGUCACGCUGGGCGCCCCCAGACCCUUGCAAAGUCCGUAGAGAACCCCAACGAUGGUCUGCAGCCUGCAAGGGGCCCCAGGUCUCCCCAUCAGGCGCCUGAGACGCAAUGGAGAACGUCACAGUCACUGUGCCCCCUUCCCAGCCACGCCUUGUGGGAGGACCAUCCUCAUGGUGGACCAGGGGAGCCCUAUGGAAACUUCUGGUCCAGCGGCCUCCAUGAAGGAAGGUGCUACUGGCAGGCAAAGGAGCUCAGAACCUCCGGAACUCUGGACUCAACGUUCCUUCCCUGAGGAGACACCGAUGGCGUUUCCCCUAAUCAGGGGGCUGGUCUGGGGGACCAGCGGCUUCUCCACGCAGCGUGAGCUCCCCAGGCGCACCUCCCUGGGACUCCAGCCCCCGAGGGGCAGAGCAGGCGGCUGGAAAAGCUCGCGGGGGGAGGGGAGAGGCCCGCCCGUGGCCCCAGGUCUAAGCUGGGAAGCCGGCGCGUAGCAGGUCUUUAACGAAAUCCUCCCGGUGCUGGGUUCCUCUGCUUAGCUGGGUCUCCCAGGUCUGGAGGGAGGGCUGGUGGGGCAAGUGGCUGCCCCUGAGACCCCAUGGAGGCGGAGAAUCAUGAUAAGAGUAGCCCUGUGAGGGGUCUGUGUGACCCCAGGCUCCGGUGGCAGGCUGUGGCCACAGGGUGGCUGUGCCCCCCAGGGCCUGAGUCCUACCCCCAGGCCUUCCCUGGGCAUCACACGCUCACC